UGGGUAACACAAAAAUAAAAUCGUACAAAUUGUAAAUUUAAUUAAACGUUUUUUCGAAUUUAAGUUGCACUCACUGACACACCUAAUAGGCGCUUGUUUUGUUUAUACAUGUAGGUAUAAAUGACACCAAGUAAUACAUUGUUUAUAUCAUAAAAUUAUAAUGCUACAGUUUUUAAUUUGCUAAAACUAAAAAAUGUAUUUAUGAACUAGUAGACAAUACAUAGAAAAUAUCAAAUUAUUAUUAUGUCUAACUUUUACAGGCCAAAAGCCCUAGGAUAAAGAUUUAUACUUCUGAUUUCAACUUCCAUAGAGUUUUUUCGUCGUUUUUAUUAACUUAUAUAGUAUUUCAGUCACGAAAAAGCUAAGCACGGAAGUGACAAAUAAACAGGGAAAAAUGAAUAAUAACAUACAAAUGUAUUCAUAAUUAUGAUUAGGUUUACAUUUUAAACUAUGUUUGGUUAAGAGUUCAUUGAUAGAAUGUUAUCUAUAAAACGUGUUCGUCCGGAUCUAAAUAAUAGUUUUUGUCUGUGAUAUUCAUUUCAUUGUUCAAUAUUGAUGACUAGCUGCUUUGCAGACGAAUUUGUUUUCAAAGACGUUCAAAAUAAAAGAAUCAUUGCAUCAUUCUCUCUGUAUCUCAUUAGUCAAUUGAACUGGAUCCCUGAGAUAGCUCAGCAGAGGCUGAAUCUAGUGUAUAGGGGCAUCGUCAGAGGAAACAUAAAAUCUUUUUAAAGUUUAAUAUCACCUUGCACAUAUCAUUCAUGUAAGUUGUAAGUGAUUUUGUGUUCACUUAUAAAGUACACUACACUGUUUUGCUGCACGCUAUGAAAGGACAGUAGGCUCCAGAUAUUUUUUUUUACCGGGACAACUUUAGAUUUACUAUGAUCACUACUUAAGAUUAACUAUGAUCACUGGUUAAAAAUAUAGAUUUUUAACUUA